UACGUAGGGUGCAAGCGUUGUCCGGAAUCAUUGGGCGUAAAGCGCGCGUAGGUGGUCAUGUAAGUCCGCUGUGAAAGUCAAAGGCUCAACCUUUGAAAGCCGGUGGAUACUGCAUGACUAGAGUACGGAAGAGGCGAGUGGAAUUCCUGGUGUAGCGGUGGAAUGCGCAGAUAUCAGGAGGAACACUAAUAGCGAAGGCAGCUCGCUGGGACGUUACUGACACUGAGGCGCGAAAGCGUGGGGAGCGAACAGG
rnacentral:rRNA from 1 species